rnacentral:sRNA from 1 species
AUUUUUUGCAAGAAAGCUUGUCAGAGUAGUAGUAAACUAUUAACAAAUUCAUGGAAAAUGUUAUAUAAAAUUGAGGAAAUUGUCUGACCUUAAAGUGACGUUCAUUUACAGAUAACUUGGCAUUUAAUGAACAAAUAAAUCGCCAAUUGUUAUGUCACGGUGGCUCCAGAAAUUAACCAUUAUAAAGGUUGUGCAGGUGUUGGACUAUUUUGUUAUUUAGCAGAGGAGUAUACACAAGAUUAUUAAUUCACUGGCGGUAUAUGACGAAGGGGGCAACAAAUAUUGAAUAGACAUUUAGAGGAUUUUUCUUCCAUCUGGGUCAUCUUCUCAUCCCACGGUUUGGUGGCCGCCCAUUCAUGUUCUGGGGUCCCUGAGGGUGGUAGUUCUGCUGGUGAUGGGGUGCACGCAGGCCUGGCAUCAUUGGUCCGCGAGGGUGACCCUGAUUCAUCAUCAUGCCAGGUCGCUGUGGGUGGCUGUUGGAAUAACCUGCAGGAUUGCCUGUUUUUAUUUUCAGAGAAAAUUUAGAGAGAAGAAAAGUUCAGUUAAAGACAAAAAUAUGUAGAUAAUGAUUCGACUAUCUGAGCAAAACACUUCUUUCCUGCCUUCAAAUAACAAAUAUGCUUUGUUUGUAAAUGUUGCAACUAAAAACAGUCUUAACUGCAAGAGCAUGCCUUUUUAGAAUUUUAAUGAAAAUUAAUGUAAACAAUUAAAAAAACAAAUCAUUAAGGUAUUUUACAAACAUGAACAUGAGACUUUAAACUGUUGGUUGUUGCCAUUAUUAACUUUCAUUUUCUAUUCUGUAAAUAAUGCAAACCUAAGUAAACUCUCUUCCUGUCAGCU